UACGGAGGGGGGCUAGCGUUGUUCGGAAUUACUGGGCGUAAAGCGCGCGUAGGCGGAUCUGCAAGUCGGGGGUGAAAUCCCGAGGCUCAACCUCGGAACUGCCUUCGAUACUGCGGGUCUCGAGUCCGGGAGAGGUGAGUGGAAUUCCUAGUGUAGAGGUGAAAUUCGUAGAUAUUAGGAAGAACACCAGUGGCGAAGGCGGCUCACUGGCCCCGGUACUGACGCUGAGGCGGCGAAAAGCGUGGGGAGCAAACAGG
rnacentral:rRNA from 1 species